rnacentral:pre_miRNA from 1 species
GCAACAUUCGGGCCGUCAGUCUACCGAGAAAUAUCACCCACUCGGUGGAAGAUCUUCUCUUACUCGU